ensembl:lncRNA
GCUGAAAAAAAAUUGAAUUCAUCUGCUGUCAAGCCUUGCUUCAGAUCAAACCUUUCUGUCCCCUGGAUAGGAAUCAAUUUGAUUUGUGCUUUUCUCUUAGGUUGGAAUCAAUCAUCCUGCUCUGAUUCGAAUGACCAUUUUACCCCUCUGAAGGUUCACAUUAACAAGCAUUCCUGGGAUGUUUUCUUGAUUGGGUUCAAGUAUCAAUCAUAGAAUCAUUAAGGUUGGAAAUACCACUAAGAUCAUCUAGUCUGACCA